UACGUAGGGGGCGAGCGUUGUCCGGAUUUAUUGGGCGUAAAGAGCUCGUAGGCGGUUUGGCAAGUCGGGUGUGAAAACUCCGGCUCAACUCGGAGACGCCACUCGAUACUGCCAUGACUCGAGUCCGGUAGGGGAGUGGCGGAAUUCCUGGUGUAGCGGUGGAAUGCGCAGAUAUCAGGAAGAACACCUAUGGCGAAGGCAGCUCUCUGGGACGGUACUGACGCUGAGACGCGAAAGCGUGGGGAGCGAACAGG
rnacentral:rRNA from 1 species